GGGCGUGUGGCACAGUGGUAGCGCGCUUGCUUCGCAUUUCCGCAAGGAGAUUGAUUGCAUGAGGCCUCCGGUUCAAUCCCGGACUCGUCCA